rnacentral:siRNA from 1 species
CAAUGUUCUUGUUGCACACCAA